GAUGACAUGAUCAGGAGAUGGUGGUGUUCUGUUCUCCUGGACAGCUUUACUCCGCAAAUAGCUCAACCACUGAGGGGAGGAACUUCACCAUUCACCAUGUCUUCAGGCAGAGUCCAGCAAAGCAGCUUCCACUGGAAAUCCUCAGGGAAGUUAUUUUGUCAGCGGGUGACUCUGCAUAUUUGACUCUUUCUCUGGUUUGCAGAUGGUUUAGGGAUGUGCUCCGAAGUUUUUCGGAAAGCGGCACAGUUUGCCUGGCUAGAGAUUGUGGCCAACUGGAAGAAUUGUCCUCCUGUCUCCUGACCGGAACGAGUUUAGACGGAUGUACAGCAUCAGGGAAUGCUUGCAGUGCAGAGCCCUUUUCAAGUUUAACCCACCAGGGUACAGGGAAGAGACCGGCGUGGUGAUCUUCUGGGCUUUUGUUUACACAGGAUUUUGUUCCAAGGACUUUUUUUUUUUUUUUUUUUUUUUUGCGGCAUGAAACACCUUUGUGUGUUAAGUUCAUUGAAGGGAAAUAGAGAAUGGGCUGAGAUCAACUGGUUUUGAUUAUUAAUUGAUGUAAUUUAAAGUUAAACUUUGCACUGUAUAAUGUUUUAAUAAAAAAGCUAUGGAAAACACGUGCAUGACAACAGGUUUCAGUCAUUUACAUCAGUCUAUCAUUCUUUAAGGUUUCUCAUAUUUGAUGAUAACAUGAUUUGCUAGCAUUGCUCAUAAUGGAUUCUUAGUUUAGUUGUGACAGGAUUGUGAGGAUUAAUGAGGUUUUCAGUAGUGCAGUUCAGAAAACAAAUAACAGAAAGUAACAAGUGUUUUUGGGCAAGUUCUUUAGAACCUGUAUAGUUCCUUCCUUGCAAAAAGUAACCAUGGAUUUAUUGUAGUAAAAAUAUUUGUUGGCACAUUAAUUACUGUGAGCUGUAAUUAUAAAAACACCAUAGUUUUACUAUAGUUACUGUAGCAGAACCAUAGUAAAUUUUCGUAGGGGCCAAGGGAAUGUUCAGAAUAUUAUUGGUGACGUUCACAGACUGGUGACAAUUUGUUACACACACGACACACACACACACACACACAUAUAUAUGUAUGUAUAUAUUAUUUGAAUAUAUAAAUCAAGGUACUCCAUGACUAUCUACGUAACCAUACUUCGCAUAAUAUUGCCGUGUCAUUUUCAAACCAGCGAGUAAUGCCGAGGUAGCGUCUACACUACAGCCAUUGAGGGAGUAGACCAUUUAUUUUUAUUCUGUUCGUCGUAAUCCAAAACUCUUUGUAUUUAUACGGGAUGUUGUGGAAAUGCAACAAUAAAUGCAAAAACACAACAUGUAUAUUCACUUUUUAAUUUUAUUAAAAGUUUAUUCAUCUUAGUGUCUACUUCCGCAUUCCAAUCCUGCUAAUAGCGUCAUAAUUCUCUAUACCAAUAAGCUGUAAAAUCGUCACUCAUCUGUACACCAAUAAGCUCAUCUUAAUCAUAAACCAAUAACCGCUGAGGUGGGCGGGGCGACACGUGUCGCUCCGCCCCAACGUGUCGCCCCGCCCCAUCGUCCAGACUGCACUCUGGGAUACUUGGUAUGCACAGCGCUUCGACGCUGGGUUUAGCGUUGCCCUUCAGAUACAACGCGAUUUGCGCUGCUCUGCGCUAUGGCGUAGGCGGAGUUUUAAAAACUUUUAGCGGGAGCUCUUUCAUAGUCUGUUGUUCCUCUUUUCGGUCAGCAGCAAACAUGUAUCUGUCCCGUUGUAAGAAGCGAGCGAUAGCGCUAGUCCUGCUGAUGAGAAUUAAGAGAGAAGCAAGGAAGAAGAGGCUACCCUCAGGCCCAGGGAACAAUUUG
rnacentral:lncRNA from 1 species